ensembl:lncRNA
GGGGAGGGGAAGGAGGGGAGUUACUGGGAAUUAAAUAAUGUUUUUAUGACUUCUGAAAUACGGCAUUGGAUUUCAUAAUCUGCAACGCUCCGUGUACGUAGUCCAUGUUAUGCCUUUUAUUGGUCUCAGUGGCUUACAUUGCAAAGGGAGAGUGAAAGCUGGGUUACAAGGUGCUUGCUAACUGAGGCUUCGUGGUCAGCAUAUAUCACUAGUGGAUGAGUCUGGCGUUUGUCAAGCCCCAGAUGAACAACCUGUUACCACCAGAGUAAUGGAGAGGUCUGAACAUCCACAAAUGACAACCGGGAGCAAUUGAAGUAUGAUGGGGAAGGAGGAUGAGCUGCAGCUUCAGGUGAAAAGAAGAAUUGGAUCAACAGCUGAUACUGAGAGAGGCAGGAGGUUUUCACUCCCUUCAAGACUCCAUAUUGUAUGUUUUUCCAGACUAUCCUAUAAAUAAAAAGUCAUUAAGAUACAGUGCCCCUGGCUAUAAUAUCCAAAGAUAAGUAUUUGAGAUGCAAUGAGAGAUGCUCAGGGAAUUGAUAAGUCUUUAGGAGAAAAAAUUUCUUGAGAUCAAUUUCCUGAUUCAAUACUGAAGUCUUCCUAUCAUACAAAAAGUAAUGUGAUUGUCCAUGGCUCUAAUAAAAUCUCAAUUUUUUUUUCUACCAAGCUUUCAUCUAUAAAAAUCAAAUUUAUCCAGCAUUAGUCUGCAUUUUGAAAGAAAUGGCUUUCUCUUGAUAUGAUAUUAAUCCGUUAUGAUGCAUUAAUAUGGGAGAACAAUAAUUUGUUGCGUUUUUUUCAAACAGAAAUGAUCAGCUGGGAGAUAGGCAUAAUAAUUGUCUUUGUCCUUCAUUGUCACAGGCCAUUAGCUAAUGAAUUUAAGCUGUUCUUGGCUCUUGCUCCAAUAAGAAAACUACAUUAGAGAUCGUGUAGCCUCAGUGUUACAUAAAACCUUUCUGUGGGUUUUAUUUUGGUCUCACUGAGGUGAUUCUGCAGUGCACUCAGAAAUGCAUCAUGACUUCGCAGCAAACAAUGAGGUCAACAUUAACUGAUGUAGUGGGUCUAGCAAACUGAAGUCCAUCUACAGCGAGUAACGUUGCCAGAAGCUACAGCCUCUUUGUUUGGUUCCUUCUAGCCAAACAAGUCUAGGGGGUAAUGGUCUUAAACUGAGACAGGGGUGGUUUAGGUUGGAUAUUAGGAGGAAGUUUUUCACACAGAGGGUGGUGAAGCACUGGAACAGGUUGCCCAAGGAGGCUGUGGAUGCCUCAUCCCUGGAGGCAUUCAAGGCCAGGCUGGAUGUGGCUCUGGGCAGCCUGGUCUGCUGGUUGGUGACCCUGCACAUAGCAGGGGUAUGAAACUACAUGAUCAUUGUGGUCCUUUUCAACCCUGGCCAUUCUAUGUUUCUGUGAUUCUAAUUCAGUCAGACUUUUCAUGC